rnacentral:rRNA from 1 species
UAGGGAAUCUUCCGCAAUGGACGCAAGUCUGACGGAGCAACGCCGCGUGAGUGAAGAAGGAUUUCGGUUCGUAAAACUCUGUUGUUAGAGAAGAACAGCGCAUAGAGUAACUGUUAUGCGUGUGACGGUAUCUAACCAGAAAGCCACGGCUAACUACGUGCCAGCAGCCGCGGUAAUACGUAGGUGGCAAGCGUUGUCCGGAUUUAUUGGGCGUAAAGCGAGCGCAGGCGGUCAAUUAAGUCUGAUGUGAAAGCCCCCGGCUCAACCGGGGAGGGUCAUUGGAAACUGGUUGACUUGAGUGCAGAAGAGGAGAGUGGAAUUCCAUGUGUAGCGGUGAAAUGCGUAGAUAUAUGGAGGAACACCAGUGGCAAGGGCGACUCUCUGGUCUGUAACUGACGCUGAGGCUCGAAAGCGUGGGUAGCAAACAGG